GGGUUGUGAGGUUAAGCGACUAAGCGUACACGGUGGAUGCCCUGGCAGUCAGAGGCGAUGAAGGACGUGCUAAUCUGCGAUAAGCGUCGGUAAGGUGAUAUGAACCGUUAUAACCGGCGAUUUCCGAAUGGGGAAACCCAGUGUGAUUCGUCACACUAUCAUUAACUGAAUCCAUAGGUUAAUGAGGCGAACCGGGGGAACUGAAACAUCUAAGUACCCCGAGGAAAAGAAAUCAACCGAGAUUCCCCCAGUAGCGGCGAGCGAACGGGGAGCAGCCCAGAGCCUGAAUCAGUGUGUGUGUUAGUGGAAGCGUCUGGAAAGGCGUGCGAUACAGGGUGACAGCCCCGUACACAAAAAUGCACAUACUGUGAGCUCGAUGAGUAGGGCGGGACACGUGGUAUCCUGUCUGAAUAUGGGGGGACCAUCCUCCAAGGCUAAAUACUCCUGACUGACCGAUAGUGAACCAGUACCGUGAGGGAAAGGCGAAAAGAACCCCGGCGAGGGGAGUGAAAAAGAACCUGAAACCGUGUACGUACAAGCAGUGGGAGCACGCUUAGGCGUGUGACUGCGUACCUUUUGUAUAAUGGGUCAGCGACUUAUAUUCUGUAGCAAGGUUAACCGAAUAGGGGAGCCGAAGGGAAACCGAGUCUUAACUGGGCGUUAAGUUGCAGGGUAUAGACCCGAAACCCGGUGAUCUAGCCAUGGGCAGGUUGAAGGUUGGGUAACACUAACUGGAGGACCGAACCGACUAAUGUUGAAAAAUUAGCGGAUGACUUGUGGCUGGGGGUGAAAGGCCAAUCAAACCGGGAGAUAGCUGGUUCUCCCCGAAAGCUAUUUAGGUAGCGCCUCGUGAAUUCAUCUCCGGGGGUAGAGCACUGUUUCGGCAAGGGGGUCAUCCCGACUUACCAACCCGAUGCAAACUGCGAAUACCGGAGAAUGUUAUCACGGGAGACACACGGCGGGUGCUAACGUCCGUCGUGAAGAGGGAAACAACCCAGACCGCCAGCUAAGGUCCCAAAGUCAUGGUUAAGUGGGAAACGAUGUGGGAAGGCCCAGACAGCCAGGAUGUUGGCUUAGAAGCAGCCAUCAUUUAAAGAAAGCGUAAUAGCUCACUGGUCGAGUCGGCCUGCGCGGAAGAUGUAACGGGGCUAAACCAUGCACCGAAGCUGCGGCAGCGACGCUUAUGCGUUGUUGGGUAGGGGAGCGUUCUGUAAGCCUGUGAAGGUGUGCUGUGAGGUAUGCUGGAGGUAUCAGAAGUGCGAAUGCUGACAUAAGUAACGAUAAAGCGGGUGAAAAGCCCGCUCGCCGGAAGACCAAGGGUUCCUGUCCAACGUUAAUCGGGGCAGGGUGAGUCGACCCCUAAGGCGAGGCCGAAAGGCGUAGUCGAUGGGAAACAGGUUAAUAUUCCUGUACUUGGUGUUACUGCGAAGGGGGGACGGAGAAGGCUAUGUUGGCCGGGCGACGGUUGUCCCGGUUUAAGCGUGUAGGCUGGUUUUCCAGGCAAAUCCGGAAAAUCAAGGCCGAGGCGUGAUGACGAGGCACUACGGUGCUGAAGCAACAAAUGCCCUGCUUCCAGGAAAAGCCUCUAAGCAUCAGGUAACAUCAAAUCGUACCCCAAACCGACACAGGUGGUCAGGUAGAGAAUACCAAGGCGCUUGAGAGAACUCGGGUGAAGGAACUAGGCAAAAUGGUGCCGUAACUUCGGGAGAAGGCACGCUGAUACGUAGGUGAAGCGACUUGCUCGUGGAGCUGAAAUCAGUCGAAGAUACCAGCUGGCUGCAACUGUUUAUUAAAAACACAGCACUGUGCAAACACGAAAGUGGACGUAUACGGUGUGACGCCUGCCCGGUGCCGGAAGGUUAAUUGAUGGGGUUAGCGCAAGCGAAGCUCUUGAUCGAAGCCCCGGUAAACGGCGGCCGUAACUAUAACGGUCCUAAGGUAGCGAAAUUCCUUGUCGGGUAAGUUCCGACCUGCACGAAUGGCGUAAUGAUGGCCAGGCUGUCUCCACCCGAGACUCAGUGAAAUUGAACUCGCUGUGAAGAUGCAGUGUACCCGCGGCAAGACGGAAAGACCCCGUGAACCUUUACUAUAGCUUGACACUGAACAUUGAGCCUUGAUGUGUAGGAUAGGUGGGAGGCUUUGAAGUGUGGACGCCAGUCUGCAUGGAGCCGACCUUGAAAUACCACCCUUUAAUGUUUGAUGUUCUAACGUGGACCCGUGAUCCGGGUUGCGGACAGUGUCUGGUGGGUAGUUUGACUGGGGCGGUCUCCUCCUAAAGAGUAACGGAGGAGCACGAAGGUUGGCUAAUCCUGGUCGGACAUCAGGAGGUUAGUGCAAUGGCAUAAGCCAGCUUGACUGCGAGCGUGACGGCGCGAGCAGGUGCGAAAGCAGGUCAUAGUGAUCCGGUGGUUCUGAAUGGAAGGGCCAUCGCUCAACGGAUAAAAGGUACUCCGGGGAUAACAGGCUGAUACCGCCCAAGAGUUCAUAUCGACGGCGGUGUUUGGCACCUCGAUGUCGGCUCAUCACAUCCUGGGGCUGAAGUAGGUCCCAAGGGUAUGGCUGUUCGCCAUUUAAAGUGGUACGCGAGCUGGGUUUAGAACGUCGUGAGACAGUUCGGUCCCUAUCUGCCGUGGGCGCUGGAGAACUGAGGGGGGCUGCUCCUAGUACGAGAGGACCGGAGUGGACGCAUCACUGGUGUUCGGGUUGUCAUGCCAAUGGCACUGCCCGGUAGCUAAAUGCGGAAGAGAUAAGUGCUGAAAGCAUCUAAGCACGAAACUUGCCCCGAGAUGAGUUCUCCCUGACCCUUUAAGGGUCCUGAAGGAACGUUGAAGACGACGACGUUGAUAGGC
rnacentral:rRNA from 1 species